rnacentral:rRNA from 1 species
CACGGGGGGAGCAAGCGUUGUUCGGAAUCACUGGGCGGAAAGGGCGUGUAGGCGGUCAGGUAAGUGGGAUGUGAAAUGCCUCGGCUCACCCGAGGCACUGCAUUCCAAACUGCUUGGCUUGAGUAUGGGAGAGGAUGAGGGAAUUCCUGGUGUAGCGGUGAAAUGCGUAGAUAUCAGGAGGAACACCGGUGGCGAAGGCGGGUCUCUGGGCCGAUACUGACGCUGAGGAGCGAAAGCGUGGGGAGCGAACAGG